rnacentral:lncRNA from 1 species
UUAGGCUUCUGUNACUGAGCGCCUGGUUCAGUGGCUCCUGUGAUUGACACCCAUUUCUGUGUGCUCCUUCCUAACUGCACUCCCUAAAGCAUGCUGGGGAAUAGUAAUUUCAGGAAAAAAAUGGCAUGCACCAUCAGUCACUGGGUGGCGGGUUUGGGGAGGGCAUUGCUGAUGGUGGCUGCUGUGUCAUCCUCCCCAGGAUGGUCUUAAAGGAUUCAUGGGGAAGGAUCUGAGGACCAACACCAGUGGUUUUCAUUAGGGUGGCAUUCCCAUGGCAUCUGGGUCCAGGUGAGGUAUGGCAGACAAUGGCCAACCACCAUGCAGCCAUCAACAAUUUAGAGUUAGUUUGGGGAAAAUGGCUGGAUAAUAUUAUUUUUUCUUGCUGCCUACAGGUAUCUAGAUCUCAGAGAAGGUUUGUUUGCUCCUUGCAAACCACAGUUUGAGCCUGUUUCCCUCUGAUUCUCCAUUGACAGCACUCAAUUUCUGUUUGUUCCCCUCAUUUCCUCUUUGCCUCUAAACUGUUAAGUGGUCAGUAGACGCUCGUGACAGCCCAUGUGUCCUGACACUGGCCAUGCAAUUAGGAACAGGGAGCAGGUGGAUAGGAGGGGUCCCCAGGCGAGAGGACUGGCAAUGAGGGAAAGCUGUCCUGGGCUGAUGUCAGCAUCCUCUGCGGGAGAAAUCAGCGAGGGUGUGUAUCUCUGCUAAAUCUAGGCCCAGGGAACCUGUCAGACCCAGUUUGGGAUCAUCAAAUUAAUUGUUACAUGUUACAAGCUGACAUAUGCAGAAGGUGAUAAAUAGCUUGUGCUGAAACUCCACCAUGUGUUCCUGCCAUUAGGCGGAGGGUAAAGGAGGCUGCCGGCUUCCACCCACUGAGAGCAACCUGCCCGAACUUACUGGUUUUCAUGAGGCCUUCCUUAACCCACUGCCUCCCACCAUUGCAUUUACUCGUAGCAUCCUUCUGCUGCUUUGGAGUGGUGGUAUUUACCUAGAAGUCACGCAGCAGCUAUUUUAGAAGGCCAUUUCUAGGUCCUCAGGAGCUGCCUGUUAAAGCCAGCGUGUGGGGGUCUCUCCAGGUCAACAUGCACUGAGUUGGGAACCAGGACUGAUCCAGCCUCCACUCUGGGUCCCUGUUGGUGGAUUGGAGCAGGUGUGGUCAGGCAUUCGAGUGGCCCUGGACAUGGGUGAGUGUCAGUAGUAGACAGGCUGGAGAGUUACUCCUACUGCCAUCCUGAGACUUGGACUUCAGCCAGCAUUUCUGUUACUGUAGGAGGUUGCCACAGGGUGGGGUACAGCAGCACACUUCCAUAGGAUGUCUGAUGACAGUUCUUCAGCCUCUGCAGUGUCUUAGGUGUGGCCCUCCUUUCCCUCUCUUCUAAAGUAGGA